rnacentral:rRNA from 1 species
GUGUCAGCCGCCGCGGUAAGACGAACCGUACGAACGUUAUUCGGAAUUACUGGGCUUAAAGGGUGCGUAGGCGGCGCGGCAAGUUGGGUGUGAAAUCCCUCGGCUCAACCGAGGAACUGCGCCCAAUACUGCCGUGCUCGAGGGAGACAGAGGUGAGCGGAACUUAGGGUGGAGCGGUGAAAUGCGUUGAUAUCCUAAGGAACACCCGUGGCGAAAGCGGCUCACUGGGUCUCUUCUGACGCUGAGGCACGAAAGCUAGGGUAGCGAACGGGAUUAGAUACCCCCGUAGUCC